AAGCAGAGGGGGGAACCAGGCCAGGAAAUUUUCUGGUAAUGUGCCUGCCCGCAUCACAGGGAGGCGGGCGGCACGCUUCCCUGUGGGUAGGGUCUGGCCGACAUACAGGGCCCUCUGUUCCCUUAAGACGGGAGUCGCCUACCACAGCUCCUCUCUUUCCUUCUUGGUGGAGGCGACCUUGAGGUGCGGAGUUGACUGCCUCGCCCUGGACAACCUCCUGAGUGGACCACGCCCUGUGUGCCCACACUCCUGGGAGCCGCCAUCACUUCCAGCUCAGAGUUGGGCGUCGACCACCCUGAGGGGAGCGCAGGUGCUCCCUGCGCCCUCCCUGCGCUCAUUCCUGCUUCUUGCCCAGAGAUUUCUUGUGACGGCCCAGCUACGUUGUCACCCUCUUCUUCCAUCUCCAUCUGAGGAGUUUCUUUCCUUACGACACCAGCUGACUUUUGCAGCCAGUUUGUUUUGUCUCGUGUCUGUGACUGACACCGUACGGAAGCAGCCCUCAGACCUGACCGCACUGCCCACACGCAGGGGAAUAGCCCAGGCUGUCAGGCAGCUGGCAGCAGCCCUGAGGCUGACAUGUACCCUGAACACGAUGGCACCCCAAGCCCAGAAAGAAGUGCGGAGCUGGGCUGCCCCUGCCAGAGCAGCGAUGGUCCGUGAGGAUGCUGGACACUUUGUCUCCCUCGCGGAUGGGCCCAGAACCCAGCGCAGCCUGGAUUGGCCCACGGGGAGGAAGGUCUGGGAAGGCGCUGGGGAGGAAAGAACCCUGUGGUCGAGGUCUCUACCUCUGCCCACUUCAGGAAAAGCAGCAAAGAAUGAAGCCAACAAAGGAGUGUGAGGUCACCCAGCUUUAUUGUGUUGGCUGCUGGGGACAGCAUCAAAGAUGUACGUAGGAGCAGCAGCUGGGGAUGGAACAGAGCUGCCCGUACGUACAUCGUUGAUGCUGGCUGUGGAGAUGUUCAUUGUGAAGAUGGACUCGGCAGUGUCUCGGUGUUAUUGUGUUGGCUGCUGGGGACCAGAGCCAGCAGUUGGGGAUGGAACACAGCUGCUUUUACAUAGAUCUUUGAUGCUGGCUGUGGUGAUGUUCAUUUUGAAGGUGGACUUGGGAGUGUCUCGGUGUUCGCAACGGCUCCCGCUCUCAUGGUCUCCUCAGGGCCGGCUGUGGGAAUUUGCAGCCUAACGACCCACUGUGGAACAGGUUUGUGUGCGGGACCGUCCUUGGCGUGUGGACUGUCGCCUGUCUUCAGGCAGCGAGGACUCCCUCAAGGGCAUCUGCCUGCUGCCACGGUGUCUUCUGGGCCGGUUUGGUGAAUGUGAGGCCCGAGCGCGUAAUGGGGAGCGGCUUCGCGUCUGGCCUGCCCGCCGCUGCCUGAGACGCAUUGUGUGAGCAGCUGCUGGGGACUCUGUGGAGGACCCCGAUGCCCUCUGUCUGGUGGAGGUCUGGGAGCU
rnacentral:lncRNA from 1 species